CCUACGGGUGGCUGCAGUGGGGAAUAUUGGACAAUGGGCGAAAGCCUGAUCCAGCCAUGCCGCGUGUGUAAAGAAGGCCUUCGGGUUGUAAAGCACUUUCAGUGGGGAAGAAAGCCUUGGGGCUAAUACCCUCGAGGAAGGACAUCACCCACAGAAGAAGCACCGGCUAACUCCGUGCCAGUAGCCGCGGUAAUACGGAGGGUGCGAGCGUUAAUCGGAAUUACUGGGCGUAAAGCGCGCGUAGGCGGUCUGAUAAGCCGGUUGUGAAAGCCCCGGGCUCAACCUGGGAACGGCAUCCGGAACUGUCAGGCUAGAGUGCAGGAGAGGAAGGUAGAAUUCCCGGUGUAGCGGUGAAAUGCGUAGAGAUCGGGAGGAAUACCAGUGGCGAAGGCGGCCUUCUGGACUGACACUGACGCUGAGGUGCGAAAGCGUGGGUAGCAAACAGGAUUAGAUACCCCAGUAGUC
rnacentral:rRNA from 1 species